UACUUAGUGGCAGACGGGUGAGUAACAUGUGGGUAUCUACCCUUUGGCCUGGAAUAACACGAGGAAACUUGUGCUAAUACCGGAUAAGUCUUUACGGAGAAAGCUUUAUGCACCAUUGGAUGAGCCCGCACUUGAUUAGUUUGUUGGUAGGGUAAUGGCCUACCAAGACCAUGAUCAAUAGCUGAUUUGAGAGGAUGAUCAGCCACAUUGGGACUGAGACACGGCCCAAACUCCUACGGGAGGCAGCAGUGGGGAAUCUUGCACAAUGGAGGAAACUCUGAUGCAGCGAUGCCGCGUGAGUGAAGAAGGCCUUUGGGUUGUAAAGCUCUUUCGUCGGGGAA
rnacentral:rRNA from 1 species